UAUACAUGAAAUUUUCAAAAGAAAAUAAUGUCUCUACUUAGAGAAAUAGUCCUCAGUCCGUCCCUUGAAUCCAAUUUGUCCAAAAGUCAGGCAGAGGAACAACCCCAAGUGCCAGCACACCAACCAUAGCCAGAAUUGCGAAGUGAGAGCAGGUCCAGUGGGGAAAUGAGAGAGUUCAGUGCCAAUGCUUUCAAAGAAAAGACCAGUAAGACUCUUUCCAUUGAUUGCUGGAACACUUGAAGGAGCCAACCAUCCAAUCAAACCAAAUCCAAUCACAUUCAAGUCUCUUCUUAGCCAGUCCCUCUGGAAACAUGUAACUCUGCCUCCUGAAGCUUUUGCUACCUUUAAAGGGUUUCUUGCUGUCACUGGUGAUCUCAUGAAGUCUGAGGAAAGGCUAGUCUUCUUUGCAGAAGAAAAUCCAGAAAGAGAUGAGUUAGCUAAGCCUACAACACUGGACAUUGUUGCUGCCAUUCUUGUUUUCUUCUUCUCCGAAUAGUGUUUGUGUUAG
rnacentral:misc_RNA from 1 species